CUGGCGCGGCUCAAGCCGCUCAAGCCAAGCCUGGCCGCACCGCAGCGCAGGCAGAGGCAGUCUCUAGUCCUCACUACGCUCUGCGCCGCGCUCCGGACCGGCACACCACAGCCAUGCCCUCCGCCAUGUCCUCGCUGCUCCUGGUGGCCGUCGCCGCCCUGCUGACGGGCGCCGCCGCGGCCCCCGCCGCCCCCACGACCACCACGGCGGCGCCCGCCCCCGCCGCCGCGCCGCUGCCCGAGAACACCCCCCUGCAGCCCGGCGAGGAGUUCUACGACCAGCGCCAGAACGGCUCCGAGAACUACCGCAUCCACAUGGACGGCAUGGUGGUGGUGGUCGCGCCGCCCGAGGCCCUCAUGUCCGUGGCGGGCGCGGCCGGCGGCCAGGGCGGCGCGCUGGAGCAGCAGCUCCUGGACAUCGUGGCCCAGCAGCAGGCCGGCGCCGAGGACAACGACGUCAAGCCCAGCAAGCCCGGCGCCGCCGGCACCAAGCCGCAGCCCGCCUGCCAGGAGGGAACCCCCGGCUGCAAGAAGAAGCGUCCCCUGCCCGCCAAAUCAUUGCUUUUGUGAACCGGGCCGGGCCCCUUCCGUCCAGCACUACACACGACACCACCUCGCAGCUAGCGCAGCCGCUCGCAGCUUCGAUUGGCCAGCCUGCUCCUGCCGCUGUUCCGCCGGCAACAAGUGCAGCAGAGCUGAAGAGUACCUGUGAUCCCAGCGAGCCAACUCGUUUAAUUCUCUCUCACAUCUGAAAGAUUGAUAAUUUAUUUUGCUUUAAAUUAUUUAAGUUAUUUAUUGUCACGAGAGGAAUGAUGGAGGGGAUGAGGCCUCAGGCCUGCCCCAAGGCCUGCCCUCUAUGGCUGUGUCCCGUAAAGUGUGGAAUAAACGCUCAUAUAUUUCAACGCCCA